rnacentral:lncRNA from 1 species
ACCACAACUAAACAAAACUCAACUGGUAAAUUAACCCAAAAAAUUGUCAGAAGCAGAAAAAGAAAACGUGAACAAUUUUUUGCUGAAACAGAACAAAAUCCCUGAAAUCACUACUUCCUAAUGUCCUGGACCUUGUACCAUCCCUUCUUGCAUGAAUCUCCAACAAUCUUCCCCCCUUCCUGGAAAAGGAUCUUCAAUUCCUUGGCCCUUUCCUUCACUUUAUGCUCAAAGCUCCCCAUUUCUUGAAAAACAAGAGC